rnacentral:misc_RNA from 1 species
ACAAAAAGAUAAAAGUCGGGCCGUAAAACGUUCGGCUUUUAUAAACCCCUGUGAACUGUAAUUGUAUCUGGUGGGUUAAAAAGGGAAUUUACGUUCCUUGGUGCUUAGGACUCUUGAGUCAGACUCACCACCCACUGUUAAAUUUGAACAUGUAUUUCUUGAAUUAGUUUAUAUUUUAAAUAAAUUAAA